GUGAGGAAUAUUGGUCAAUGGGCGGGAGCCUGAACCAGCCAAGUCGCGUGAGGGAAGACGGUCCUACGGAUUGUAAACCUCUUUUGCCGGGGAGCAAAACAGGCAGUGGUGUGCCUUAUGAGAGUACCCGGAGAAAAAGCAUCGGCUAACUCCGUGCCAGCAGCCGCGGUAAUACGGAGGAUGCGAGCGUUAUCCGGAUUUAUUGGGUUUAAAGGGUGCGUAGGCGGAUUGUUAAGUCAGCGGUAAAAUUGCGGAGCUCAACUCCGUACCGCCGUUGAAACUGGUGAUCUGGAGUGGGCGAGAAGUAUGCGGAAUGCGUGGUGUAGCGGUGAAAUGCAUAGAUAUCACGCAGAACUCCGAUUGCGAAGGCAGCAUACCGGCGCCCUACUGACGCUGAAGCACGAAAGCGUGGGUAUCGAACAGG
rnacentral:rRNA from 1 species